AGUGCGAUGUGUGCAUUGCAUUGCGACGGGUUACAUCACUGGUCGUAACAUGAUGUAACCCAACGCAGCAUGAUGUAAGCGUCGUGAUACAUUGG
ensembl:miRNA